GCCCCCUUGGCCUAAUGGUUAAGGCGCAAGACUUCUAUUAGUGCUGGGAACUAGAAUACCCAGCGUCUCAUAGAGCGUAUCUUGAGAUUGCCAGUUCGAGUCUGGCAGGGGGCU
rnacentral:tRNA from 2 species